rnacentral:rRNA from 1 species
UUUCCGUAGGUGAACCUGCGGAAGGAUCAUUAUCGAGUUUUGACCGGGUUGUAGCUGGCCUUCCGAGGCAUGUGCACGCCCUGCUCAUCCACUCUACACCUGUGCACUUACUGUGGGCUUCAGAUUGCGAGGCACGCUCUUUACCGGGCUUGCGGAGCAUAUCUGUGCCUGCGUUUAUCACAAACUCUAUAAAGUAACAGAAUGUGUAUUGCGAUGUAACACAUCUAUAUACAACUUUCAGCAACGGAUCUCUUGGCUCUCGCAUCGAUGAAGAACGCAGCGAAAUGCGAUAAGUAAUGUGAAUUGCAGAAUUCAGUGAAUCAUCGAAUCUUUGAACGCACCUUGCGCUCCUUGGUAUUCCGAGGAGCAUGCCUGUUUGAGUGUCAUGAAAUCUUCAACCUACAAGCUUUUGUGGUUUGUAGGCUUGGACUUGGAGGCUUGUCGGCCGUUAUCGGUCGGCUCCUCUUAAAUGCAUUAGCUUGGUUCCUUGCGGAUCGGCUCUCGGUGUGAUAAUGUCUACGCCGCGACCGUGAAGCGUUUGGCGAGCUUCUAACCGUCUUAUAAGACAGCUUUAUGACCUCUGACCUCAAAUCAGGUAGGACUACC